GUAGGUGGCAAGCGUUGUCCGGAAUUAUUGGGCGUAAAGCGCGCGCAGGCGGUUCUUUAAGUCUGAGGUGAAAGCCCACGGCUCAACCGUGGAGGGUCAUUGGAAACUGGAGAACUUGAGUACAGAAGAGGAAAGCGGAAUUCCACGUGUAGCGGUGAAAUGCGUAGAGAUGUGGAGGAACACCAGUGGCGAAGGCGGCUUUCUGGUCUGUAACUGACGCUGAGGCGCGAAAGCGUGGGGAGCAAACAGGAUUAGAUACCCUGGUAGUCCACGCCGUAAACGAUGAGUGCUAAGUGUUAGGGGGGUUUCCGCCCCCCUUAGUGCUGCAGCUAACGCAUUAAGCACUCCGCCUGGGAGUACGGCCGCAAGGCUG
rnacentral:rRNA from 1 species